CAUAAACAAUUAGAAAAAAGAUGUAAUGCAAUAUAAAACCACACAUAAUGUGUAAUCAAUUUAUAUCAAAAUUUAAAAAAUAGUGUAGAUUCAUAUAGUCACAGUAAUGACAAUCAUUCAUUCACCUGAUAAUUCAUUAAUAUCUUUUAUCUGCAAGGCACUAGUCUAGACGUUGGGAUGCAAUGAUACCAAAAGCCCUGCUCUUGGGAGGCUUAGAGACAGAAUGGACGAGGUGAACACAGAGAGACUGAGUAGUUGUCCCGCAGCUGCGGAAGAGAGCAAAGUGGUGAAAGAGGCACAAAGAAGCAGCAACAAGGGACAAGAAGGAAGAGAAAGGUUAGAGGAGAGCAGGAAGUUAGACAGUAGGGGAUAGUGAAGCUUAACUGCAGGGAUAGGAGGAGGAAAGGUGAACUGGGAGACUUAAUGAAGGGUCUGUUCAAAAGUUAAGUUGGAGCUUUUGAAUGUAAUAUGCUAAGUAGCAAGGAAAGUUAAUAGCAUCUUUGUUUUGCACCUGAUUUUUUUUUUUAUUAGUAGAACCUUAUGAGUGCCACACCAAGAACAUUUUUAAAUACUAGUCUAUAAUUCUGCCACUUAAUAACUUUUCAUUUUGUUGUGCCCCGUCUUUACCAUACAUAUUUCUAAAUCAAUGAAUCAUCCUAGGUUCUGUAAUGGGUAGUAAUUUGUUCAAAAGGGGUUUUGGGCAGACAUUAGCUGCAGGAUGCACCAUGAUUAUAGGUGGGAGAGAUUAGAGAUAAAUGCCUCGUGGAAAGGCAGCUGUAGACUAUAAUAAUCUAGGCUCCCAAGGAUCGUAGAGUUCACAGGGAGAGCGGCCAGGCUGUAGAGAAGAAACAGAUCCCGGAGCACUCUGAAUCUCUGUAGAGGUAUGGUAUUAUUUUAUAUACUGAGACAACCUAAAUUUUCCUUGGAUGGUAAUUAAGAAUGCCAAGUCUAAGUCUAUUGUAAAAUAUUUGAAGAACAAACUGGCUGAGCUGUUCUAUUUACCAGUUAUGUGCUCAUUGAAGACUCUGAGGUAUUGAAAAUGUGUGUUUUUUAAGUAUCUACUUAGUAUUAACACUGAGUUUGUAGCAUGACUUUCAGGUUUAUUGAAAAUGCUUUUUCAAGUUGGAAGGAAUGAAAUAUAGCCUCAGUCUUUCGCUCUGUACACAACCCUCCUAGGCACUCUUGAAAAUGGUCACACCAACUCUGCCUAUACGUUUUUGAUGUGACCAUUUCAGUGUGUUCAUUAUCUGUCAAGGCAAGUUGUCCCACCAUUAGACACUUCUCUCUGUAAAAAAAGGUGUUUCUUAGGUUGCUAAAAUCUGCAUCGUUCCGGCUUCCCCUUGCCUUUAAUUUGGUCACCGAUCUGAGUUCUGUCCUGAGCAAGUGCUCAGAGUAUUUCUGCCCCUUUCUCCUGGCAACCCUGAAGAUAAAAUUGAGACCAGUUACUCAUCCUCUCCCAGCUGCUCUGAUUUCUGUUGUUCACUUCCCUCUACCACCCUUCAUAUGUCAUGAUUUUCAGAUCCAUUUCAACCUGACAGAAUGUUAAGAGGCAGUAUCCUUGAAGCUGAGGAACUGUCUCCAUCAUCAUACAUGUAGAAAAAAUAUCUGAACAUUUAAGUGGAAGUGCCCCCAUACCUGGGAAAUGGCUUCCAAAGAACAAGAGACUCAACCAACACCCCUGUUCCACAGCCACAAAGAACUUGAGCUUUCUGGUGGUGAACUGGACAUGGAAGUUGUUUUUACCAACAGGAGAAGAGGAAGAGUAACAGUUAUAAAGGGAAUUGACAGCAAGUUGGCUCAUCGGUUGCCAGGGAAACCAGCAGAGACUACAAAGACCAUGAAGACAAGAAGAGGCUGCCAGAGAAAAAGCAGAAAACCCCAAACCAUUUGCUCCUCUACUAAUGUUAGUCAGUAGUAACAUUAUAGUGACUGCAAGAGCUGGUGAGUGGUUGAGAGUGCUGAGAAACGUUUUCUGCACUUCAGCUGCAAGCUUCCGAAAUCAGCUACUAAAGUCUUCCAUGACUUACUUGUAGAAACAAUUACAUUUAUUU
ensembl:lncRNA